UACAAAUUGUAUUUGUUUAGUUUGUGGACAAAGACUUAAAUAAGUGGGAAAAAUAAAUUCUUUUUUGUAAUCCAGAAUUCAUUGUAAAAGUAUGAGUUUUGAUAUAAAUAAGAAGGAAUAUG